UCAGGAGUAGCUGAAAACCUGUAUAAAAGAGUAGGCA
rfam:Chitinophaga niabensis strain DSM 24787 genome assembly, contig: Ga0070009_12